ACGCAUAUUUUUUAAACAGCCACGCCCAACACUGCUGCAGUAGUAUUUACUCUCUCCUCGACUCUCUCUUUAUCAAAAAUGGCUAGUGCUGGAGGAGCGAUGCAACUAAAAGUCCUCUUUGUUGGUGAUGUUGAUGUUGGAAAAACAUCAAUAUUCGAAUUAUAUAGAACUCAUGAAGUGGCCAAAUCUCCUAAGCAUACAAUGGACCCUGUUAUUAAAAGUUUUAAUAUUGUUACUAUGACUCCUCACACAACAGUAGAACUACACCUUUACGACACAGGAGGACAGGAACGCUACAAAACAUUGACAAAACAGUUUUUUAGAGAUGCUGACAUUGCUCUUCUUGUGUUCAGUAUCACUGAUGGUGAUUCAUUCCGCCACAUUGAGCAGGAUUGGAGACAAGAAGUUUUGAAUCAUAAUGAAAAGGACGUGAUGAUGAUUCUCAUUGGCAACAAGGAUGAUCUUCACGAAGAGAGAAUCAACCCUAAAUCAACAAGCAGACAAUAUGCUGAGAUACAUCACAUGAAGUUUGUUGAAAUGUCUGCAAAUAGAAGAGAUGAUUAUGAUAAGGUGGACUCUGUCAUUCGAGAAGCUACAACUGAAAUUGUACGUCAAAGACGUAAUACUAUGUCUGGACCUGUACAGCAAGAAGAUGAAAGAAUAGUUCUGGAUGAGCCAGUUCAUGAUGGUCUAGUGCAGCAACAAGAGCAAAAAAGAAGUCGAUGCCGUUAUUGUUAAAGACUACUUAUACAAUUACUUUUAUAUACUUUUAUAUUGUCCAUUCUAUUUGUCCCUUGAAUAAUCUCCUAAAACCUGCAGACAAGU
rnacentral:misc_RNA from 1 species